rnacentral:tRNA from 2 species
AGGGCAAUAGCUCCAAUGGUAGAGCACCGGAUUCCAAAUCCGACUGUUGGGGGUUCGAGUCCCUCUUGCCCUGCCA